rnacentral:rRNA from 1 species
UACGGGGGGGGUAAGCGUUGUUCGGAAUUACUGGGCGUAAAGGGCUCGUAGGCGGCCAACUAAGUCAGACGUGAAAUCCCUCAGCUUAACUGGGGAACUGCGUCUGAUACUGGAUGGCUUGGAUUCGGGAGAGGAAUGCGGAAUUCCAGGUGUAGCGGUGAAAUGCGUAGAUAUCGGGAGGAACACCUGUGGCGAAAGCGGCGCACUGGACCACAACUGACGCUGAGGCGCGAAAGCUAGGGGAGCAAACAGG